rnacentral:rRNA from 1 species
AAUGGGGGCAACCCUGAUCCAGCCAUUCCGCGUGAGUGAAGAAGGCCUUCGGGUUGUAAAGCUCUUUUGUCCGGAGCGAAACGGGUAGCCCUAAUACGGCUGCCUACUGACGGUACCGGAAGAAUAAGCACCGGCUAACUACGUGCCAGCAGCCGCGGUAAUACGUAGGGUGCGAGCGUUAAUCGGAAUUACUGGGCGUAAAGCGUGCGCAGGCGGUUUUGUAAGCCAGAUGUGAAAUCCCCGGGCUCAACCUGGGAAUGGCAUUUGGGACUGCAAGGCUGGAGUGUGGCAGAGGGGACUAGAAUUCCUGGUGUAGCAGUGAAAUGCGUAGAUAUCAGGAGGAAUACCGAUGGCGAAGGCAGGUCCCUGGGCUAACACUGACGCUCAUGCACGAAAGCGUGGGGAGCAAA